rnacentral:rRNA from 1 species
GUAGGUGGCAAGCGUUGUCCGGGAAUUAUUGGGGCGUAAAGCGCGCGCAGGCGGUUCUUUAAGUCUGAUGUGAAAGCCCACGGGCUCAACCGUGAGGGUCAUUGGAAACUGGAGAACUUGAGUACAGAAGAGGAAAGCGGAAUUCCACGUGUAGCGGUGAAAUGCGUAGAGAUGUGGAGGAACACCAGUGGCGAAGGCGGCUUUCUGGUCUGUAACUGACGCUGAGGCGCGAAAGCGUGGGGAGCAAACAGGAUUAGAUACCCUGGUAGUCCACGCCGUAAACGAUGAGUGCUAAGUGUUAGGGGGUUUCCGCCCCUUAGUGCUGCAGCUAACGCAUUAAGCACUCCGCCUGGGGAGUACGGCCGCAAAGGCUGA